ensembl:lncRNA
CCAAAUCCUUCACCCCAAAUUCCAAAUCCUACACCCACAAAAUCCAAACCCUUCACCCCAAAAUCCAAAUCCUUCGCCCCAAAAUCCAAAUCCUUCGCCCCAAAAUUCAUCCCAAAAUCCAAAUUCUUCAUCCCAAAUUUCAAAUUCUUCACCCCAAAUUCCAAAUCCUUCUCCCCAAAAUUCAUCCGAAAACCCAAACCCUUCACCCCAAAAUCCAAAUCCUUCACCCCAAAUUCCAAAUUCUUCAUCCCAAAAUCCUUCAUCCCAAAGUUCCCAAAUACUUCCAAAUCCUUCAUCCCAGAAAACAAAUGUAUCACCCCAAAAUCCUUCACCCCAAAAUCCAAAUCCUUCGCCCCAAAAUCCUUCACCCCAGAAUCCAAAUCCUUCACGCCAAAAUUCAUCCCAAAAUCCAAAUUCUUCAUCCCAAAUUUCAAAUUCUUCACCCCAAAAUCCAAAUCCUUAAUCCCAAAUUCAUCCCAAAUCUCCCAAAUCCUUCAUCCCAAAAUUCCAAACCCUUCAUCCCAAAUUUCAUCCCAAAGCCCAAAUCAUUCACCCCAAAAUCCAAACCCUUCAUCCCAAAAUCCAAAUCCCAAAAUCCAAACCCUUCACCCCAAAAUCCAAACCCUUCAUACCAAAAUCCAAAUCCCAAAAUCCAAACCCUUCACCCCAAAAUCCAAACCCUUCAUCCCAAAAUCCAAAUCCUUCACCCCAAAGUUCCCAAAUGCUUCCAAAUCCUUCAUCCCAGAAAACAAAUACAUCACCCCAAAAUCCAAAUCCUUCAUCCCAAAUCUCCCAAAUCUUUCACCCCAAAAUCCAAACCCUUCAUCCCAAAAUCCAAAUCCCAAAAUCCAAACCCUUCACCCCAAAAUUCCCAAAUCCUUCACCCCAAAUUCCAAAUCCUUCACCCCAAAAUUCAUCCCAAAAUCCAAAUCAUUCAUCCAAAAUUCACCCCAAAAUCCAAAACCUUCAUCCCAAAAUUCACCCCAAAAUCCAAAUCCUUCACCCCAAAAUCCAAAUUCUUCACCCCAAAAUCCAAAACCUUCACCCCAAAAUCCAAAUCCUUCGCCCCAAAAUUCACCCCAAAAUCCAAACCCUUCACCCCAAAUUCCAAACCCUGCACCCCAAAAUCCAAAUCCUUCGCCCCAAAAUUCAUCCCAAAAUUCCAAAUCCUUCACCCCAAAAUCCAAACCCUUCGCCCCAAAAUCCAAAUCCUGCACCCACAAAAUUCAUCCCAAAAUCCAAACCCUUCACCCCAAAUUCCAAAUUCUUCAUCCCAAAAUCCUUCAUCCCAAAGUUCCCAAAUACUUCCAAAUCCUUCAUCCCAGAAAACAAAUGCAUCACCCCAAAAUCCAAAUCCCAAAAUCCAAACCCUUCACCCCAAAAUUCAUCCCAAAAUUCCAAAACCUUCACCCCAAACUCCAAAACCUUCACCCCAAAAUUCAUCCCAAAAUCCAAAUCAUUCAUCCCAAAAUUCAUCCCAAAAACCAAAUCCUUCACCCCAAAUUCCAAAUCCUGCACCCCAAAAUCCAAACCCUUCACCCCAAAUUCCAAAUCCUUCGCCCCAAAAUCCAAAUCCUUCACCCCAAAAUUCAUCCCAAAAACCAAAUCCUUCACCUCAAAUUCCAGAUCCGUCACCCCAAACUCAAAAUCCUGCAUGCCAAAGCCCAAAUCCUUCGCCCCAAAGUCCAAAUCCUUCACCCCAAAAUUCAUCCCAAAAUCCAAAACCUUCAUCCCAAAUUCCAAACCCUUCACCCCAAAAUCCAAAUCCUUCACCCCAAAGUUCCCAAAUGCUUCCAAAUCCUUCAUCCCAGAAAACAAGUCCUUCGCCCCAAAAUCCUUCACCCCAAAAUCCAAAUUCUCAUCAAAAAAUCCAAAUCCUUCACCCCAAAAUCCAAACCCUUCAUCCCAAAAUCCUUCACCCCAAAAUUCAAAUCCUUCACCCCAGAAUCCAAAUCCUUCACGCCAAAAUUCAUCCCAAAAUCCAAACCCUUCACCCCAAAAUUCAUCCAAAAACCCAAAUCAUUCAAUCCCAAAAUUCAUCCCAAAAUCCAAAUCCUUCACCCCAAAAAUCCAAAUCCUUCAUCCCAAAUUCCAAAUCCUUCUCCCCAAAAUUCAUCCAAAAACCCAAAUCCUUCACCCCAAAACCCAAACCCUUCAUCCCAAAGUUCCCAAAUCAUUCACCCCAAAAUUGAAAUCCUGCAUCUCAAAAUCCAAGCCCUUCACCCCAAAAUUCACCCCAAAAUCCAAACCCUUCACCCCAAAUUCCAAAUCCCAAAAUCCAAACCCUUCACCCCAAAAUUCCACCCCAUCCCAUUUUUUCCCUUUAUUUUGGUGCUUCCCCACCCAGUUUUUAUAUUUUUCCCCCACCCCAAUGUUUUGUGUUUUAUUUUAUAUUUUGUGUUUUAUUUCAUAUUUUGCAUUUUAUUUUAUAUUUUUUAUCCCACUCCAAUGUUUUG